rnacentral:antisense_RNA from 1 species
GCAGGAGCUUGAAUUUCAGUUUUCUUAUGAGGAAUUUUCCAGAAAAGAUAUCUUCACUGUGAAAUAAGUAAAUAAAUGCUCACUCAGUACAGUCACUGUCUCCCUUUUGGAACUUGAUGGCACCUUAAGCCCAGGUUUGUCUCCACUCUAGAAACUCAUCAGAGUGAUGCCCUUCUCAAAUGGGGGAGGUCCCAAAGGGGAUAUCCUGGCAGUGUGAAAGGCCAGCUAAAGAUUUGUGCCAAGAGGAUCUGUGGAAUGCAUCUCCUACAGCUGGUGCUGCUGAGUAACCACUCUGAUCUGGCAUCUUCUUUGGUCAAGUUACAGAGCAGAGUUUCCAGGGCUGGGGAUUGAAGUCCUGCCUCCUCCCUUUGUCUCUGGUUGUCCUCGGUAAUGUUUUUCCCUCAAGGUACUCAUGAUACUUCCCAUGGGCUUUCCCUGAGCUCCAAACACAGAGCUGAGACUUCCACCUAAUGUAGAAAGCUAGCACGAGCCGGCGCUGACAGAUGGAAGACUUGAGAUGUUACAAGAUUAUAUAUGGAAACACAAAAGGAGAUACCGGAGCCAUGACAGACCGUGAUGGGGCUGGUGGACAGUUCAGCAAGACAUUGAUAUUGUCCAUUGGCGCUCAGUUCAUCUGUAAUGACACAUUCAAGGAUGAUGAU